rnacentral:lncRNA from 1 species
UCGGCCACCGCUAGUGCGGACGUCGAGAGGGAGAGUUCAGGUAUUGCCUUCAAGGUUUAAUGAUUCAAUUAUUGAUAAUUGGAGAAAAGAAAGUAAGACUAGUUCGCGUGAUUAUAGCGUUGAUGAUAAUGAUAAUGAUAAUGAUAAUGAAAAUGAUAAUGAUAAAGAUGACGAUGACUAUGUCGUUGAUGACGAUGACGAUGAUGUUGAUUAUGAUGUUCAGUUUAAGAGUAAUAGAAAGGUUAAAGAGAAAGAGAGAACGGGUUUGGGAUUGCGUAGAAUGGGUAGUAAUG